GUAACAAGGUUUCCGUAGGUGAACCUGCGGAAGGAUCAUUAUUGAAUUAAUGUAGAGUUUGGUUGUAGCUGGCUCCUAAUUAAACUUGGGGGCAUGUGCACACCUUUCUCUUUCAUCCCAUACACACCUGUGCACCUGUGAGACAGAUGUUUUGUGGGGGGGAAGGAACUUUAUUGGACCUUCUACUCCCCCUUGACUUCUGUCUACUUAAUUCAUAUAAACUCAAUUUAUUUUAAAACGGAUGUAAUGGAUGUAACACAUCUAAUACUAAGUUUCAACAACGGAUCUCUUGGCUCUCGCAUCGAUGAAGAACGCAGCGAAAUGCGAUAAGUAAUGUGAAUUGCAGAAUUCAGUGAAUCAUCGAAUCUUUGAACGCACCUUGCGCUCCUUGGUAUUCCUUGGAGCAUGCCUGUUUGAGUAUCAUGAAAUCUUCAAAGUCAAACCUUUUGUUAAUUCAAUUGGUUCUGCUUUGGUAUUGGAGGAUUAUUGCAGCUUCACACCUGCUCCUCUUUGUGCAUUAGCUGGAUCUCAGUGUUAUGCUUGGUUCCACUCAGCGUGAUAAGUUAUCUAUCGCUGAGGACACCCUGUUAAAAAGGGGUGGCCAAGGUAAAUGCAGAUGAACCGCUUCUAAUAGUCCAUUGACUUGGACAAUAUCUAAUUUAUGAUCUGAUCUCAAAUCAGGUAGGACUACCCGCUGAACUUAAGCAUA
rnacentral:rRNA from 1 species